UACGAAGGGUGCAAGCGUUACUCGGAAUUACUGGGCGUAAAGCGUGCGUAGGUGGUUUGUUAAGUCUGACGUGAAAGCCCCGGGCUCAACCUGGGAAUUGCAUUGGAUACUGGCGGGCUAGAGUGCGGUAGACGGUAGUGGAAUUCCCGGUGUAGCAGUGAAAUGCGUAGAGAUCGGGAGGAACACCAGUGGCGAAAGCGCUCUACUGGGCCAUAACUGACACUGAGGGACGAAAGCUAGGGGAGCGAAAGGG
rnacentral:rRNA from 1 species